UAGGGAAUCUUCGGCAAUGGGGGGAACCCUGACCGAGCAACGCCGCGUGAGUGAAGAAGGUUUUCGGAUCGUAAAGCUCUGUUGUUAAGGAAGAACGAGUGUGAGAAUGGAAAGUUCAUACUGUGACGGUACUUAACCAGAAAGGGACGGCUAACUACGUGCCAGCAGCCGCGGUAAUACGUAGGUCCCGAGCGUUGUCCGGAUUUAUUGGGCGUAAAGCGAGCGCAGGCGGUUAGAUAAGUCUGAAGUUAAAGGUAGUGGCUCAACCAUUGUAGGCUUUGGAAACUGUUUAACUUGAGUGCAGAAGGGGAGAGUGGAAUUCCAUGUGUAGCGGUGAAAUGCGUAGAUAUAUGGAGGAACACCGGUGGCGAAAGCGGCUCUCUGGUCUGUAACUGACGCUGAGGCUCGAAAGCGUGGGGAGCGAACAGG
rnacentral:rRNA from 1 species